rnacentral:rRNA from 1 species
UCUGUCCGAGCGUCGGCUUAUAAACUAUCACUGCGCGUAAAAAGCAGUGGCUUGGAAGAUUGCCAGCUAACGCAGGCCGUGUAGUGUAAGGUGGUGGCGGCGGCGUUAGACAGCGAUGGCUUCUUCUUAAUGUGGCUUAGACGGCGGUGGCGGCGGCGGCGGCGAUGACGCUGUGCUCACGGUAGCAUUGCCGGUUGCCAGGCGAUGCUAGUUUGUGUGUUCGUUCCACCACCACCACCACCAAAUAUUGUGGAGUACUGUUGAUGGUGUCAGUGGUGGAGCACCGCUUGUUUUGUCAACAAUGAGUACACCACCCGCGGCUUAUUGUUUGUGCUUGCACCUAAUGUGGGCUCUAGACGACAGGUAGGCGUGCUACGAGAUGUUGUUGGUCGUCGUCGUCGUUGUUGGUGCUGCUGCUGCUGCUGCUGCAGCUGCUUUGAUGUGGCCUAAUGUGUGCCUGACCUCGGUUCAGUCGUGAG